rnacentral:ncRNA from 1 species
UUUUUUACGCAUAAUAAACCACCUAUUUACAUUUUACUGUUCCUGUUCAAUAAGUGACAGGUAUAGAAAAACGUAUUAUAAGGUUUUUCAGUUCCUAUUAUGCGAUUUAUACAAAAAAGUAUACUGCUAGACGGCAAAUAAAAAAAACCGUUAUCUGGCAGCAUGAUUUUCUUGUGUCAAAAUCAGUUUUAUAUCCAGACGACGGUUUGAAGAAAGCCGCCGUUUUUUUGUUUGUUAAA